UUUCAAUGAUGAUACUUCUAGCUCACUUUGAUACAACGUGAAACGACAUGAACUUCUGAGCGAC
ensembl:snoRNA SNORD29 Small nucleolar RNA SNORD29